AGUGAACGCUGGCGGUAGGCCUAACACAUGCAAGUCGAACGGCAGCACAGGAGAGCUUGCUCUCUGGGUGGCGAGUGGCGGACGGGUGAGGAAUACAUCGGAAUCUACUUUUUCGUGGGGGAUAACGUAGGGAAACUUACGCUAAUACCGCAUACGACCUACGGGUGAAAGCAGGGGACCUUCGGGCCUUGCGCGAAUGAAUUAGCCGAUGUAGGAUUAGCUAGUUGGCGGGGUAAAGGCCCACCAAGGCGACGAUCCGUAGCUGGUCUGAGAGGAUGAUCAGCCACACUGGAACUGAGACACGGUCCAGACUCCUACGGGAGGCAGCAGCGGGGAAUAUUGGACAAUGGGCGCAAGCCUGAUCCAGCCAUACCGCGUGGGUGAAGAAGGCCUUCGGGUUGUAAAGCCCUUUUGUUGGGAAAGAAAUCCAGCUGGCUAAUACCCGGUUGGGAUGACGGUACCCAAAGAAUAAGCACCGGCUAACUUCGUGCCAGCCGCCGCAGUAA
rnacentral:rRNA from 1 species